rnacentral:rRNA from 1 species
ACCUGGCUCACACCGGUUUAAACUCAGAUCAUGUAAAAUUUUAAAGGUCGAACAGACCUAGUUUGUCAGCCUCUACACCAACAACAUAUUUUAAUCCAACAUCGAGGUCGCAAUCUUUUUCUUCGAUAAGAACUCUAAAAAAAAUUACGCUGUUAUCCCUAAGGUAAUUUAAUCUUCUAAUCUCAAUUUAAGGAUCACUAAUUCACAAACAAAUGAUUUUAUAUAAAAAAAGUUUAUCUAAUUUUUUAAUCACCCCAAUCAAAUAUUUCUUGUACUAAAAUAAAUCUAAACCUAAACUCUAAAUUAACUUAAAAAUAUAAAACUCUAUAGGGUCUUCUCGUCUUCUAUAGUCAUUUAAGCUUUUUAACUUAAAAAUAAAAUUCUAAUUAAUUUUCACAGAGACAGCAAUUUUCUCAUCAAACCCUUCAUUCAAGCUUUCAAUUAAAAAACUAAUGAUUAUGCUACCUUUGCACGGUUAGUAUACCGCGGCCAUUUAACUUCUCAUUGGGCAGGUCAAACUUAAGAUUAUUUUCAAUAAGAC